GAUGAACGCUGGCGGCGUGCCUAACACAUGCAAGUCGAGCGAACGGACGCGAAGCUUGCUUCUCUGAUGUUAGCGGCGGACGGGUUAGUAACACGUGGAUAACCUACCUAUAAGACUGUGAUAACUUCGGGAAACCGUAGCUAAUACCGGAUAAUAUUUUGAACCGCAUGAUUCAAAAGUGAAAGACGGUCUUGCUGUCACUGAUAGAUGGAUCCGCGCUGCAUUAGCUAGUUGGUAAGGUAACGGCUUACCAAGCCAACGAUGCAUAGCCGGCCUGAGAGGGUGAUCGGCCACACUGGAACUGAGACACGGUCCAGACUCCUACGGGAGGCAGCAGUAGGGAAUCUUCCGCAAUGGGCGAAAGCCUGACGGAGCAACGCCGCGUGAGUGAUGAAGGUCUUCGGGUCGUAAACCUCUGUUAUUAGGGAAGAACAUAUGUUUAAGUAACUGUGCACAUCUUGACGGUACCUAAUCAGAAAGCAACGGCUAACUACGUG
rnacentral:rRNA from 1 species